rnacentral:lncRNA from 1 species
AGAUAGGACUUCUGUGCCCACCAAAGCUAUGUUUUAAGCUUGUCUUUGUGCAAAAACUAUCUGCAAUUUUCUGAUCUCAUCAGGUGACCUCAACGUCAGACCAAGGACACAUAAUGUCAUUUCUGCCUCUACCACAUGGGCCGCUGACCUCCCGCAUCCACCAGCCUUCUUAGGGCUUCCCCACCUUCAGGGCCCUGUAGCAGGAGGAGCUAUCUGAGAUGGAAGAUACGGAGAUGAGCUUCUCAGGCUGCCCAGACCAAGAAAUCUUGCAGGAGUGCCACAGCAAGCUGGACUCAAGCUGCUGCAGGGCUUAUUCCGGCUUGGCCUAUGCUCCCCCUGCCUGCAGGCCCAGGGCCUACUAUGAAGCUUAGGCCGCUCGUGGCAGGCCCGGGCUUCACAAUUCUUAGUUCAGGGCUUGAGAUGGCCAUCAGGGAACAGCAGGGACAGGCAUGAGGCAGGAACUGAGAGUGCCUGUGCUGACCUGUUGCACGUGAGUGAGGUGAUAGGGCUGAGUGGCCACAGCAGCAGGUUCUAACAGCCCUGUGGUCAUUCAGAGUGGCAGGUCAUGGCCGAGAUCAAUGCAGGAAGGACAGACAGCAUGUCAGGAGCAGCAGGGACUGAGCACAAGCCAUGGCAUAGCAAUCAGCUGUGGCUUGGGGACUCAGGCCUGAGUCAAAGCAGGGCUAUUGGCAGAUAGAACGCAGCCCAGGUGAGACUUGCUAGGGCAAGCAAGCUCCAUUAAUGCUGCCAGGGCCCUGCUAAUUGCUUGAUCCCACCUGCGGAGAAGUGGAGGUGUAACUCCCAAGUAUAACUAGACUUCCAAUCAAUAUGUAUUCUCCCAGAAAAUUGUCAGGAGGAAUGAAGGAUGGAGUCCCAUGAGUAAGAAGUAGGGUGUCUUCGUGCCUCGGAGCUGCCUUGCUGCUUCAAAGACUGCAUACCGUCUGCUGCCCUGAAGGUGACUGCAUGCAGCUUGGUCGGGCUGGCGUCUCAUUAUCCCUCUGCUGCAGGCUUCCAGCAGCUCCCCAAGCAGGGAGUUUUGAAGUUGUACUCUCCUGGUAAAGAGGAUACCCAGCAGUCUUUACUCAGGUUUGCUCUCAAGACAGAGGCCUCACAUCUCGGUCCACCAGCCAGGAAGAUGUUGGCCUUCAGGGGGCUGAACCCAGCUCAAGAGGCGAAGUGGCUCUUCCUGACCCACAGGCGCUCCUGCUGCUUCGGGAUGUAACGUGGUUCUUCUCUUGAAGGCUCCAGAGUCACUGAGGUCAACGCGAAAUGAACGCAUCACGCUGGUACAGACCACCUCCUUACUGUUAGUAUUUCUUCUCCUCAGAGACAAACUGUGUGCAGUAAGCAAAGCAAAGUUAGAGGCCUUGGCCUCAUCUCUGCUGCCGAUGUGCACAGCUCCUAUAUAUAUCUCCACAUCGCUGCGUGUUUGUGUAAGCCCCGCUCGUUAAUACCUCCCGCAGCAGCAAGCUGUUUCUCUUUUC